GAUGAAGAACGCAGCGAAAUGCGAUAAGUAAUGCGAAUUGCAGAAUUUCCGUGAGUCAUCGAAUCUUUGAACGCACAUUGCGCCCACUGGUAUUCUAGUGGGCAUGCCUGUUCGAGCGUCAUUAAGUCCACUUAAGCCCUGCUUAGUGUUGGGAGACUGCUCCAGCGGUGCUACCCUGUAGCUACCCUGCAGCUCCUCAAAGACAGCGGCGGAGUUGUGGUAUCCUCUGAGCUUAGUAACUUGUUCUAGCUUUCGAGUACACCACUUCCCCUGCCGUAAAACCCUUAAUUUUUAAUGGUUGACCUCGGAUCAGGUAGGAAUACCCGCUGAACUUAAGCAUAUCAAUAAGCGGAGGA
rnacentral:misc_RNA from 1 species